rnacentral:rRNA from 1 species
UACGAAGGGGGCUAGCGUUGUUCGGAAUUGCUGGGCGUAAAGCGCACGUAGGCGGAUUUGCCAGUCAGGGGUGAAAUCCCGGGGCUCAACCUCGGAACUGCCUCUGAUACAGCAAGUCUUGAGUCCGGAAGAGGUGGGUGGAAUUCCUAGUGUAGAGGUGAAAUUCGUAGAUAUUAGGAAGAACACCAGUGGCGAAGGCGGCCCACUGGUCCUGUACUGACGCUGAGGUGCGAAAGCGUGGGGAGCAAACAGG